GACGAACGCUGGCGGCGUGCCUAAUACAUGCAAGUCGAACGCAGUGGGGACGGGUGAGUAACACGUGGGUAACCUCCCAUCAGAGGGGAUAACACUUGGCAAAAGGUGCUAACCUGCUACUGAUGGAUGAACCCGCGGGGCAUUAGCGAGUUGGUGGGGUAACGGCUCACCAAGGCCACGAUGCAUAGCCGAUCUGAGAGGGUGAUCAGCCACACUGGGACUGAGACACGGCACAGACUCCUACGGGAGGCAGCAGUAGGGAAUCUUCGGCAAUGGGCGAAAGUCUGACCCAGCAACGCCGCGUGAGUGAAGAAGGUUUUCGGAUCGUAAAACUCUGUUAUCAGAGAAGCGGUAUCUAACCAGAAAGCCACGGCUAACUACGUGCCAGCAGCCGCGGUAAUAC
rnacentral:rRNA from 1 species